rnacentral:tRNA from 1 species
GCCGAGAUAGCUCAGUCGGUAGAGCAGAG